AUUGAACGCUGGCGGCAGGCCUAACACAUGCAAGUCGAACGAGUGGCGGACGGGUGAGUAAUGUCUGGGAAACUGCCUGAUUGAGGGGGAUAACUACUGGAAACGGUAGCUAAUACCGCAUACCAUCGGAUGUGCCCAGAUGGGAUUAGCUAGUAGGUGGGGUAAAGGCUCACCAAGGCGACGAUCCCUAGCUGGUCUGAGAGGAUGACCAGCCACACGUGAACUGAGACACGGUCCAGACUCCUACGGGAGGCAGCAGUGGGGAAUAGUGCACAAUGGGCGCAAGCCUGAUGCAGCCAUGCCGCGUGUAUGAAGAAGGCCUUCGGGUUGUAAAGUACUUUAAGCGGGGAGGCGGUACCCGCAGAAUAAGCACCGGCUAACUCCGUGCCAGCAGCCGCGGUAAUUC
rnacentral:rRNA from 1 species